UACGUAGGGUGCAAGCGUUAAUCGGAAUUACUGGGCGUAAAGCGUGCGCAGGCGGUUUUGUAAGUCAGAUGUGGAAUCCCCGGGCUUAACCUGGGAACUGCGCUUGUUACUGGCAGGCUUGAGUGUGGCAGAGGGGGGUGGAAUUCCACGUGUAGCAGUGAAAUGCGUAGAGAUGUGGAGGAACACCGAUGGCGAAGGCAGCCCCCUGGGCUAACACUGACGCUCAUGCACGAAAGCGUGGGGAGCAAACAGG
rnacentral:rRNA from 1 species